GCAGCUCUGCAAGUUUUCUAUCUCUCCUCACGUUCUCUCUCCCUCACUCCUCGAUUUCGUGACGGAUUUUCGCCCGAUUGAAAAUCCGAAAAUACCACUAGACUCCAUUCGUUGCUACCGUCAUUUCUACCGGAGUGGAUCGGUGGUAGGAGCGGCGUAGGCAUAUUCCCUGGGGAAUUAGAUUUCGGGCGCCAAGGGCGUGAAAUUUUGGGUCCUAAGGAAUUUCUCAAUAGUCAGGAGCUCCUGAGAGACUGGCGGGUCAGGGCCGCCGUUGAGCUAGUGAGAUUACCCUGUGAGAAGGGUAAGAUUUUGUAAUAGUGUCAGAGUUAUUUUGUGUUUGACCCUAGAGAUAUUUGGAUGUUUGUGAGGAUGUAUAGAAUGCUCUGGUAUUAUGUUUUA